rnacentral:rRNA from 1 species
GACGAACGCUGGCGGCGUGCUUAACACAUGCAAGUCGAACGGAAAGGCCCUGCUUUUGUGGGGUGCUCGAGUGGCGAACGGGUGAGUAACACGUGAGUAACCUGCCCUUGACUUUGGGAUAACUUCAGGAAACUGGGGCUAAUACCGGCUAGGAGCUCCUGCUGCAUGGUGGGGGUUGGAAAGUUUCGGCGGUUGGGGAUGGACUCGCGGCUGAUCAGCUUGUUGGUGGGGUAGUGGCUUACCAAGGCUUUGCCGGGUAGCCGGCCGGGGGGGGUGACCGGCCAGAUAGGGCUGGAGAGAGGCCCGGGCCACAAUCGGGCGGGAGGAAGGGGUGGGUUAGCUCGAAGGGGGGGCGACGGACUGAGCAAGCCCGGGUGCGGGAGUGAGGCAUGCGGGUGGGAAACCGAUUUCGCUUGUAAGGGAGGAUAAUGACAGGAAAGGGAGAAAAAACCCCGGCUAACUUCGGG